ensembl:snRNA U6 U6 spliceosomal RNA
GUGCUUGCUUCGGCAGCACAUGUACUAGGGUUGGACCGAUAGAGAAGAUUAGCAUGGCCCCUGUGUAAGGAUGACAUGUAGGUUCGUGAAGCGUUCCAUUUAUUA